rnacentral:rRNA from 1 species
UAACAAUGGCGCAAAACAGAGGGAAGCAAAGCCGCGAGGCCGAGCAAAUCCCCAAAAGGCGUCUCAGUUCGGAUUGCAGGCUGCAACUCGCCUGUAUGAAGUCGGAAUUGCUAGUAAUCGCGGAUCAGCAUGCCGCGGUGAAUACGUUCCCGGGCCUUGUACACACCGCCCGUCACACCAUGAGAGCCGGGAACACCCGAAGUCCGUAGUCUAACCGUAAGGAGGACGCGGCCGAAGGUGGGUUUGGUAAUUGGGGUGAAGUCGUAACAAGGUACC